GCUUUAGUGGUGUAGUGGUCAGCACGCUGGGCGCGUAUUCCAGAGGUCCGUGGUUCAAGUCCCGGCGAAGGCG
rnacentral:tRNA from 1 species